ACUCACACUCUUAACGUACCAGCUUGAAAGACCAUGAACUCAAUGAAGCCUCACGCUAUAAAUUCAGGUACGCUUCCAACUGAUCGAUUUCUCAAUAGAUUCAUCAUGUAUGAUAUUAAGAUUAAGUAAUCUAGUUCAAACAAGUGGUAUCAGAGCGGCACAUGCUUUGAACUGUUGAGAAAUUAAGAUUCAUAAAAUCAGGGUUGUGGUUUUUAAUUCGGAUUAAAGCUAAUUCAGUGAAAUUAUGUUUUGAUUGCUAUUAUUCUGUGAUUAAUUUUUGUGAUCAAGGCUUAAUCAGCCGGAUUAGAGUUUUCAGAGCCUCUGUUGGCCGCGGUCAGCCCUCGGGCUGCCGAAGGAGGCGGCCACAGAGCAACUCCUGCUGUCGAGUAUGGUGGUGGAUCGUCCCUAUGGGUCGACCGAGAGCACUGCAAUGACCAGUGGUGGUCGCGGGCUGCGGCUCGCUGGCUUAUGCUUGUCGAUAACGACUCCAACGAGUCGGGAUCGUGGUCGCCCGUCAUCGAUUGGACUCCACUGAGCCGGGAUGGAAUCGAGGGCCAACAAUCGUGGCUCGUGUCUUCUGGGCAUGGGUAGCUGCUUGCAAGUCACGGUUUAGUCUCCCCGACUCCAGCCAUCGCGGUCCCGGAGCUGGACACCUGCUCGAACCCGAGCCAUCCCAUUCCUCUUCUUGAUGUCUGUCUCUCUCUCUCUAACUCAGUCUAGCCUCGAUGAUCACGGCAGCACGUUGCCGCAGCCGUCGCCAGCAUAAUGGUGGCCGUGAUCAGCUGUAGCAGGGGCGCUAGUGUCUCGGGAGGUGAGGGGCAGCUAGGGGGUGCGUGGGAGGGAAAAGCGCUACGGUUUCGGGGCUGAGAGUGAGGAGUCGGGCGAAGAAGGUGAAGUUGGCCCGUCCUGGGUCGAUUUCGGUUUCACCCGACCCAGCUUCGGCUCGCUCCGGUUUUAAGUCCGACCCGAUCCAGUUUAAUCUGAUUUGGGUUUCGGUCCAACAGGAAAUUAAUCAGGCAUUUCAGUCAUUCUGGGCUGGGCUGGGCUCAAGCCCAUUCGAUGAUUGACUGAUCCAAUCAAAGUUUGACUGAACUGGGCGAUUUUGAUCGGUUUGGUCUAUUUGACCGAUCCGGUUAGAAUUUGUCAGGUUCGGUUGAAUUUUAAAUCGACUCAAGCCCAUUCAGUCCGGUUAAGGACCAAUUAAGUCUGGUUCAGAUUAAUUAACUCCAGUUUAUGCUUGAUUUUUGGUGUUCUAGGCCCGAUUUUGGGCAUUUCAGAUCUAAUUUUGACCGGGUUUUUAGGUCUGAAAAAUAAAUUAAUUGCAUUUUUCUGGAAUAUCUAAUAUUCGGAAUAGGUUAACUAAAGCAACAUCUCGCCAAAGCAAACUUUCUUGUGUAGAUUAAUUUAUUUGGAAUAUAAGAUGUCUGUGUGUAUGGAAUUUCUUGCAAGUAGUGAUCGGCCCAAAGGACGGUUACUAUUUGUGGUAAUAAAUGUGAGACUAUCGUAAGGUUUUUCAUGUGAACAUUAAGUCGGCCCAAAGGAAGGCUUAUUGUUUGAUAUGUUGAUUGUCUGUAUUUGAUUACUGCACUGAGAGUACCACUUAUAAGUUGACACUUCCUAUCCAAAGAUGGAAUGUCAAUGUUGUGCUGGGUAUUUUAUAAUGGGACCUGCCAUUAUUUAUCUAUUUGCAUAUGGUUAUAUUGAUUUUUUGAGCUAACUAUAUUUUUCCUCUAUUUGUUCUCUGUUUAGUCAAUACUUAUGUUACCUCCAUGAAUGUUGUGCUUAGUUCCAUUCCUAUGCUAAAUGGUACGAACUUUAAGGCUUGGAAGGAGAACGUUUCGAUCAUUCUUGACUGCAUGGAUCUAGACUUGGCACUUCGGAUAGAUCAGCCUAUAGCUUUUACAGCUGUAAGUUCCCCUAAGGAGAAAAAGGGAAUAUGAGCGGUGGGAACGAUCUAAUCACCUGAGUUUGAUGAUCAUGAAGUGAUCCAUCCCAUAAAGUUUCUUGGGCGCUAUGUCUAAAGAGACUGAUGUCAAAUCGUUCCUUGCUGCCAUUUAAAAGCGUUUCGAGAGAAACGAAAAGGUUGAGGCCAACACGCUCUUAGUGAAUAUCGUCUCAAUGAGGUAUAACGGCAAGGGGAACAUAAGGGAGUACAUCAUGAAGAUGUCAAAUUUUGCUUCCAAGCUUAAAGCACUAAAGUUAGAUCUAACAUAUUACGUCCUUGUGAAUCUAGUUUUGAUCUCUCUCCCUGCACAGUUCAACCAGUUUAAAGUCAGUUAUAACCGCCAAAAGAAGAAAUGGAGCCUCAAUGAGCGCAGUUUCCAUUGUGUGCAAGAGGAGGACAAGUUGAAGCAUGAUAAGACAAAGAAUGUUCAUUUGGCAUCGACCUCUAAGUACAAUAGCAAGAAAAGGAAAAAAGGGUAAGGUAGCUGUGGGUGCCCCAAAACAACUAAAGAAGCAUAAGCAAUAGGCUAAUGAUGCUUGUUACUUUUGCAAGAAGAGUGGGCACUUGAAGAAGGAUUGUACCAAGUAUCACGCUUGGCGUACUAAGAAAGUUGCUUGAGCUGCAGAGCGCCAAGUGAUGCUGAAAGAUUCAUCUAUGUGGGCGAUGGCAAAUCAGUUGAAGUUGAGGCCAUUGGCACAUUUAGGUUAUUAUUAAGGACUGGUUGUUAUUUAGACCUGAAAGAGACUUUUGUUGUCCCGUUUUUCAGACAGAAUUUGGUUUCUACUUUUAUAUUGGACAAAACUGGUUACUCUUGUUCAUUUGGAAAUAGUCAGUUCAGUCUUUUUCUUGGUUCAAA